GAUGAAGAACGCAGCGAAACGCGAUAUGUAAUGUGAAUUGCAGAAUUCAGUGAAUCAUCGAAUCUUUGAACGCACAUUGCGCCCGCCAGUAUUCUGGCGGGCAUGCCUGUUCGAGCGUCAUUUCAACCAUCAAGCCCCAGGCUUGUGUUGGGGACCUGCGGCUGCCGCAGGCCCUGAAAACCAGUGGCGGGCUCGCUGUCACACCGGGCGUAGUAGAUUUUAUCUCGCUCAGGGCGUGCUGCGGGUUCCGGCCGUUAAAAAGCCUUUUUUACCCAAGGUUGACCUCGGAUCAGGUAGGAAGACCCGCUGAACUUAAGCAUAUCAAUAAGCGGAGGA
rnacentral:misc_RNA from 1 species